rnacentral:rRNA from 1 species
UACAGAGGUCUCAAGCGUUGUUCGGAUUCAUUGGGCGUAAAGGGUGCGUAGGCGGCGCGGUAAGUCGGGUGUGAAAUUUCGAGGCUUAACUUCGAAACUGCAUUCGAUACUGCCGUGCUAGAGGACUGGAGAGGAGACUGGAAUUUACGGUGUAGCGGUGAAAUGCGUAGAUAUCGUAAGGAAGAACCAGUGGCGAAGGCGGGUCUCUGGAC